rnacentral:rRNA from 1 species
AGCGAACGCUGGCGGCAGGCUUAACACAUGCAAGUCGAACGGGCACUUCGGUGCUAGUGGCAGACGGGUGAGUAACACGUGGGAACGUACCUUUCGGUUCGGAAUAAUCCAGGGAAACUUGGACUAAUACCGGAUACGCCCUUCGGGGGAAAGAUUCAUCGCCGAUAGAUCGGCCCGCGUCUGAUUAGCUGGUUGGUGAGGUAAUGGCUCACCAAGGCGACGAUCAGUAGCUGGUCUGAGAGGAUGAUCAGCCACAUUGGGACUGAGACACGGCCCAAACUCCUACGGGAGGCAGCAGUGGGGAAUAUUGGACAAUGGGCGCAAGCCUGAUCCAGCCAUGCCGCGUGAGUGAUGAAGGCCUUAGGGUUGUAAAGCUCUUUUGUCCGGGAAGAUAAUGACUGUACCGGAAGAAUAAGCCCCGGCUAACUUCGUG